UGACGAUGGUGGGGGUGAUCGUCGUUCCGCUCGUGGCAAGGGGAAAACCAUAGUUGGCCCUCAUGAUAAGCUGAAGAAAAUGAGCACGUGGGAGAAAGCAAUGCUUCAUUAUUUGCAAAGAUGUUAUGAAGAUGCUGUUGCGGCGGGUCAGGAACAUCCUUUUGGUGGUCGUUAUGCUCCACCGCUAGUCCCGGGUGUUUCACGUUCACUUAGUACUAUCGUUGCAGGAGGCACAAAUAAACCACAGGAUGAGGCUGGGUCAGAGGAACCUUCAUCUUCACCACCCAAGAAUGCUUAAAGUCCUCCUAGAUAGUAAUCAGUGGAUGGUUUGUUGUAGUGUAUCUUAUUGUUUGCAUCUGAAAUUUAAAUAUGUGUAUUUCUAUC
rnacentral:lncRNA from 1 species